rnacentral:rRNA from 1 species
AGUGAACGCUGGCGGUAGGCCUAACACAUGCAAGUCGAACGGCAGCACAGUAAGAGCUUGCUCUUGGGUGGCGAGUGGCGGACGGGUGAGGAAUACAUCGGAAUCUACUUUUUCGUGGGGGAUAACGUAGGGAAACUUACGCUAAUACCGCAUACGACCUACGGGUGAAGGCAGGGGAUCUUCGGACCUUGCGCGAUUGAAUGAGCCGAUGUCGGAUUAGCUAGUUGGCGGGGUAAAGGCCCACCAAGGCGACGAUCCGUAGCUGGUCUGAGAGGAUGAUCAGCCACACUGGAACUGAGACACGGUCCAGACUCCUACGGGAGGCAGCAGUGGGGAAUAUUGGACAAUGGGCGCAAGCCUGAUCCAGCCAUACCGCGUGGGUGAAGAAGGCCUUCGGGUUGUAAAGCCCUUUUGUUGGGAAAGAAACGCAGCAGGUUAAUACCCCGCUGUUCUGACGGUACCCAAAGAAUAAGCACCGGCUAACUUCGUG